UAAAAGAAAAUAGGCAUUCUCUUAUGGAGGAGUAAAGGGACAACUUAUUCAAAUGUCUUCUACUUCAUAGAAGAAAUUCAAGACAUAUGCUAAUUGAUGAUAUUGAUGGAUUUUCGAAUGUUCUACCAUCCUUGCAUCCCUGGGAUGAAUCCUACUUGAUCAUGAUGGAUGAUCUUUUUGAUGUAUUUUUGAAUUUGGUUUGCUAAUAUUUUGGCUGAUGAAUGUUCAGGAGAGUUGAAAUAACAGGUCAAGAACCUCAGAGAAGUUUCUACCUGAAGAGCUUGUUAUCUGCAGAAAAAGAGUUCUUUUUCAUCUAAGAUGUAAAAGCUUGAAAAAAACUGAUGUGGGAGGUAGCAUAAAAAAUAUUUUGAGGGCCCAGAUGACUUUGGACUAGAAAUGAGAGUUUUUACUGCAAAAUAACUAGAUUACUUCUU